rnacentral:rRNA from 1 species
AUGCGUCGGCUUCAGCGUGCCGGCGCCCAGGCGGUUGCCGCUUUGUGGCCGGAUAUGCCGGCUCUGCGCACCGCCAGUCGGACCGCCAACUGGCUGGAAGUCGCUGCCGACCGUCUUGAGGCCUGGAAGGGCUCCUCGGCCCGGGCAGGAGCGCGCCGGGCCUUGGAGUUCGUCAAGGUGUGGUAUCCAGGGCUGGACCUGGACCGCCUGGCCGCGUUCCGGUCAGAAGCCCAGGCCGAACUAGAGGCCGUGGAGGGCGCCCUUAUCGAGCGUGCGGCGGCCAUCGCCGAGUACACGGACACCAGCAUCUCCGUGCCCGAGCGGGCUGAAGGCGGCGAGGAAGUACCGGCAGAGUGGUUCGGGAUGAACCCGGAGUAUGGCGAGGACUCGGCGGAGGUGAUCGACUCCAGCACUGAGGAGGAGGACGAGGCGGAGGCCGAAGGCGAGGCGGGGGUGCCAGAAGACGGAGCAGGCGGCCAGUCUCAGCUCGAUCGCGCCUCCAGCAACGAGCCGCGUCAAGAGAAAACGACUGCCGCCGGAGGCGAUCAAACCGAGGCCGCCCAGCCGACUGCCCCAGCACCUGACACCGCCAUCUCCUCCGAUCCUCCAAUCCCAGAUGCCGCCUCCUAG